AUUGAACGCUGGCGGCAUGCUUUACACAUGCAAGUCGAACGGUAACAGGGAGCUUGCUCCGCUGACGAGUGGCGAACGGGUGAGUAAUGCGUCGGAACGUGCCGAGUAGUGGGGGAUAACGCAUCGAAAGGUGUGCUAAUACCGCAUACGUACUGAGGUAGAAAGUGGGGGACCUUCGGGCCUCACGCUAUUGGAGCGGCCGACGUCUGAUUAGCUAGUUGGGGAGGUAAAGGCUCACCAAGGCGACGAUCAGUAGCGGGUCGUGAGAGGAUGAUCCGCCACACUGGGACUGAGACACGGCCCAGACUCCUACGGGAGGCAGCAGUGGGGAAUUUUGGACAAUGGGCGCAAGCCUGAUCCAGCCAUGCCGCGUGUCUGAAGAAGGCCUUCGGGUUGUAAAGGACUUUUGUCGGGGAGGAAAUCCCCAGCGUUAAUACCGCUGGGGGAUGACAGUACCUGAAGAAUAAGCACCGGCUAACUACGUGCCAGCAGCCGCCGUAACAC
rnacentral:rRNA from 1 species